CCUACGGGAGGCUGCAGUGGGGAAUAUUGGACAUUGGGGGGAACCCUGAUCCAGCCAUGCCGCGUGUGUGAAGAAGGCCCUCGGGUUGUAAAGCACUUUCAGUGAGGAAGAACGCCUGGUGGUUAAUACCCAUCAGGAAAGACAUCACUCACAGAAGAAGCACCGGCUAACUCCGUGCCAGCAGCCGCGGUAAUACGGAGGGUGCGAGCGUUAAUCGGAAUUACUGGGCGUAAAGCGCGCGUAGGUGGCUUGAUAAGCCGGUUGUGAAAGCCCCGGGCUCAACCUGGGAACGGCAUCCGGAACUGUCAAGCUAGAGUGCAGGAGAGGAAGGUAGAAUUCCCGGUGUAGCGGUGAAAUGCGUAGAGAUCGGGAGGAAUACCAGUGGCGAAGGCGGCCUUCUGGACUGACACUGACACUGAGGUGCGAAAGCGUGGGUAGCAAACAGGAUUAGAUACCCGUGUAGUC
rnacentral:rRNA from 1 species